UCCGAUUAACGUCUUUGACAUCAUUGUCAAAAUAUGUUGCGUAGUGUUUAUUGCUAUACGCUCGAUUUAUAGAGAUUUCAAAAUAUUCGGACAUCUGGAAGGAAAUAAGAAAGAAAUGUUUAAAAUAAAGUGACAAAUACGGUGCUUAUACUAUUUAAAGGUUUAGACAUUGUUCAGAUGAGUUCCAAGCAUGCAUGUUUGCCACCAGCAAACAACGUCUAGUUAAGAAACCAAUUCUCCGCAGAUAAUAUGGAUUUGGGCGCUGAAUAUGGAAGAUAACACAUGUGGAUCUAGAUUUCGGGAUAUUGCACGCAAAAUGCUAAGAUGGUGUCACCCACAACGAAGAGAGACUCAAAAUGGAAUCGACAAUUUUUCUUUUUUUUAGAAGCCUGGUACCCUUAAGAAAAUAUAUAAAUACCUUUUAACAAUAUUUUGCAUAUUUUAUACGCAA